rnacentral:rRNA from 1 species
GGGUGAGUAACGCGUGGAUAAUCUACCCGACGGACCGGGAUAACAUUUCGAAAGGGGUGCUAAUACCGGAUAAGACCACGGCUUCUUAGGGGGCUGCGGUAAAAGGUGGGGACCUUCGGGCCUACCGUCAUCGGAUGAGUCCGCGUACCAUUAGCUAGUUGGUAGGGUAAGAGCCUACCAAGGCGACGAUGGUUAGCUGGUCUGAGAGGAUGAUCUGCCACACUGGGACUGAGACACGGCCCAGACUCCUACGGGAGGCAGCAGUGGGGAAUUUUGGACAAUGGGGGCAACCCUGAUCCAGCCAUGCCGCGUGAGUGAAGAAGGCCUUCGGGUUGUAAAGCUCUUUCGGCGGGGAAGAAAUGGCAACGGCUAAUAUCCGUUGUUGAUGACGGUACCCGCAUAAGAAGCACCGGCUAAUUACGUGCCAGCAGCCGCGGUAAUACGUAGGGUGCGAGCGUUAAUCGGAAUUACUGGGCGUAAAGCGUGCGCAGGCGGUUUCGUAAGACAGACGUG